AGAUGUUUUGGGACUACAACUCCCAUCAUCCCUAGCUAACAGGACAAGUGGUCAGGGAUGAUGGGAGUUGUAGUCCCAAAACAUCU